rnacentral:lncRNA from 1 species
CCCUCCCUAACACAGCAGGUGUAAUAAUCAAUUGUUCUUCUGCUUCUUUCCAAAGAUACACGUGUUUCUCUCAAUCCAUAUGGAGUAUAAACAAGCUUGAAGAUCUGAGUUGCCUGUGAUUUCCCUUUGGCCUGCUUGCUGAUCCACUACACAUGUUAUUCCCCGUUGAUAGAUAGCUCUAUGAUUCUUUCUUCUCUUCGCAUCCCAUACAAAUUUAGUAUCUUGGAAUUGUAAGAAUAGGUGGUCUCUGAUUUCCUCAUGCAUAUGGCAAUACACACAAUUUUUAUCCAUAGUCAUACCCCAAUCUAUCAAUUUAGAAGCCUCCCAUGCAAUGUUAGCCAUAAUGUGAAUUGUUCCUUAGGCCUUGCAUCAUUUUCAAAUCUUAGAGGCUUCCAUAUUAUCCUUUCUUGGUCACCUAUCAGCUGCAAGUAGAGUUGCUUUAUCAUGCAUGUUGCCUUGUCG